rnacentral:rRNA from 1 species
UGAUUGACGGUGCUUGCACCUGAUUGAUUUUGGUCGCCAACGAGUGGCGGACGGGUGAGUAACACGUAGGUAACCUGCCCAGAAGCGGGGGACAACAUUUGGAAACAGAUGCUAAUACCGCAUAACAACGUUGUUCGCAUGAACAACGCUUAAAAGAUGGCUUCUCGCUAUCACUUCUGGAUGGACCUGCGGUGCAUUAGCUUGUUGGUGGGGUAAUGGCCUACCAAGGCGAUGAUGCAUAGCCGAGUUGAGAGACUGAUCGGCCACAAUGGGACUGAGACACGGCCCAUACUCCUACGGGAGGCAGCAGUAGGGAAUCUUCCACAAUGGGCGCAAGCCUGAUGGAGCAACACCGCGUGAGUGAAGAAGGGUUUCGGCUCGUAAAGCUCUGUUGUUAAAGAAGAACACGUAUGAGAGUAACUGUUCAUACGUUGACGGUAUUUAACCAGAAAGUCACGGCUAACUACGUGCCAGCAGCCGCGGUAAUACGUAGGUGGCAAGCGUUAUCCGGAUUUAUUGGGCGUAAAGAGAGUGCAGGCGGUUUUCUAAGUCUGAUGUGAAAGCCUUCGGCUUAACCGGAGAAGUGCAUCGGAAACUGGAUAACUUGAGUGCAGAAGAGGGUAGUGGAACUCCAUGUGUAGCGGUGGAAUGCGUAGAUAUAUGGAAGAACACCAGUGGCGAAGGCGGCUACCUGGUCUGCAACUGACGCUGAGACUCGAAAGCAUGGGUAGCGAAC